GCAUUAAUAAUUUAAAAAAAAUUUUAAUCUUGUAAAUUAAAUUUAAGGGCUUUCUUCCCCUUUUAAUGCU
rnacentral:tRNA from 1 species